UACGUAGGGGGCAAGCGUUGUCCGGAUUUACUGGGCGUAAAGCGCGUGUAGGCGGCCACGCAGGCCCGUUGUGAAAACUAGAGGCUCAACCUCUAGACGUCGACGGAAACCGUGUGGCUAGAGUCCGGAAGAGGAGAGUGGAAUUCCUGGUGUAGCGGUGAAAUGCGCAGAUAUCAGGAAGAACACCAAUGGCGAAGGCAGCUCUCUGGGACGGUACUGACGCUGAGACGCGAAAGCGUGGGGAGCGAACAGG
rnacentral:rRNA from 1 species